rnacentral:misc_RNA from 1 species
GAUGAAGAACGUAGCGAAAUGCGAUAAGUAAUGUGAAUUGCAGAAUUCAGUGAAUCAUCGAAUCUUUGAACGCACAUUGCGCCCGCCAGUAUUCUGGCGGGCAUGCCUGUCUGAGCGUCAUUUCAACCCUCAUGCCCCUAGGGCGUGGUGUUGGGGAUCGGCCAAAGCCCGCGAGGGACGGCCGGCCCCUAAAUCUAGUGGCGGACCCGUCGUGGCCUCCUCUGCGAAGUAGUGAUAUUCCGCAUCGGAGAGCGAUGAGCCCCUGCCGUUAAAACCCCAACUUUCCAAGGUUGACCUCAGAUCAGGUAGGAAUACCCGCUGAACUUAAGCAUAUCAUAAGCGGAGGA